rnacentral:lncRNA from 1 species
AGGACGAUAAAACCACAGAUAGCCACGAUGAUUGUCGCCGUUGGAAACCAGCCAUCAGUCGCUUGACUGUUUGGAUGUAGUGGGGCUAAAUACGCUCGUUGAUCAUCGAAUACUACAUCGAAUAAUGAUAUUAUCAGCAAAGAUCCUGAUUGCAGCAGAGAAAUUCCACGGGACACCGGCGACUUUUAAAGCUGUCACCGAAGCAACCACUGUGAGCAGUUUGGUCCGCCUUCGAGAGCGGUGUAUUUGGUAAUUUUGUGAAGCAGCCUCUACCGCGACACAUGUAUCCCUGGGGAACGCAUUCCGGUUGAUUACAAUAGCAUCUCACUUCUCCUACGUUAGAAGAAUCUGCAAUCAAAAAUAUCAAUCGUCUAUAAUCAAAUUGAGAACUUGAAGAGGACUUGUUCAAUCCGAAUAGUUCAAUUUCUUAAGGUUCUCCAGAUAUAAAUUGUGCGCGAAAAGGAUAUUUUUGCCGAAAUUUUGAACAAGUCUGCCACUAUUUAUUCCGUGAAGACUUGCGCGCAUUGAACGCGCUUGAUGCAGCAUAAACAUACGCAACAACGAUGACGGUGGCCUCUUCGACUGUGUGUUAAUAAUUAGGAUCAUACGAAACAAACGAAGCGAAAAAGAGGGAGGGGAGAAAGAAAAAGAACACACGAGGCACGUUUAUUACGAAGCCAUCUUUAUCUGCAAGCAUGCUUGGCUUCGUUUACUCUAACCCCCCGAGUCCACCAUCAUGCUGGGUUCCCGCGACCUCGUCUUUCUCCGUUGGUUUCUUACUAAUAACCCUGCAGUGAUGCUUCGACUAUCUCUCUUGUUUCUCUUUCGUUUGCUCUUUGUGAGCGAGCCUCGCAAGUGCCAGUUGAGCCUGGACUCUCUUUCUGUUCGCGGCCUGUCGGGGGUCCAGCUCAUUGGGGACUAAAAAACGCUAAAACAGCCAAGUCACAAAAGAAAGAUUAAAGUGGAGAGGAUAUAUGGAGAAAAGUAUGCGGCACUGCUCCCUUCUGCGCUCAUAGACCUUCCUUCUCUUCUGUUUCUCAAUGUAAAUUUUGUUGAUCAAAUACCACAUAUAAGAGAGAAGAAAAAAUAUUUGACAUUUCAUUGUGUUGCAACAAUUAUAUAUCGUAAAUUAAAUAAUUAGACGUGACCACUUAAAAAAUUAUGAAACUGUUUCAAUUUCAUCACAUAAUCAGAAAUAUUUCGAUAGUAAUACAACACAUUUUUCACUUUUUGCUAUUUGUUAUUUUAUUAAGAUGAGUACGGAAUAUUUUCUUCUAGAUUUCUCAUAUUUAAAACAAUUUUAAAUAAAAAUUUGCAAAUGUUGAAUUUUUGUUUUUUACAAUAAAUUACUUUGAUAAAAUUCUUUCUACAGUUACAUAUACGCGCGCGGGCGCGCGCGCGUGUGUGUGUGCCGUAUCAUGUAAUAUACAUAUUUUUUAAAACGUACAUUUUGAAAUGUAUCGUAGAGCGGUGAAUCGAAAUAAAGAAAGGUAGCCUUCUAAAAAAAUUUUUUUUUGGGAGAGACUUAGAGGACAGUUCCGUAUGCGUGUGCGUUUAAAAUAAAAAAAACAAAAGGAGGAAGAAAGGAAGCAGCGGGAGGUAGAGGACCCCAGCCAAAGAGAGAUACGACCGACAAGCCUGAAGGCUAAAGAAGAGCCAUCCGAAAACAAACAGACUGCAUCGCAGAGUCGUUCGUUAUACGUCUAUGGUAUAUUAAUUAUUCCUUGGGUUGUUUCGGUUCGGUCCAGCGGCGAGUUUCCCUCUCCUCGCGUUUGCAUUUUUUUUCGUUCCUUCGAUAUUAAAUCCCCGGCGGCGAUCGGUGAAAGUGACACGUAAGGACAAUCAGUGAAUAACAAAUAUUUUAUUAUUUUCGAUUAUUGUCCCAGAUAGCAAAAUAUCUCUAAAAUUUCUGUAGAACUGAUAAACGCUAUUGAGAAUAUUGGUAAAUUAUUGGUCUAAGUAUAUCCACAAAAUAAAGCAAUUUUAGAUCAAUCACAAGCUGAAUAUAAAAUUGUCAAUUAUUGCCCAAUUCCACAUCAAUCAAAUUAAAUAUUUUUAACCUGAAAUCUUAAAAUCAAUUGUAACUCGAAUCUAUAAUGGCUUAAAAUGUAAUCCAAUAUUAAAAUGUCAAUUCUGUAUUACAGGAUAUUUAAAUGGAGAAACAUAAUAUAUAUAUAUAUAUAUGCUUCUAUAAUUAAAUUAAAAUUUUAAGGUGUUUUGCAAAAAAGUAAUUAUACGCUUUUUAUAAAAUUUAUUAAUAAGACGUUUAUUUAAAUUUUUUCACACUACAAAUAUUAAUGUAAUUUUAUGUGUACUAUUCUCUUUACAUAAACAUACACUUUUUCAUGCUGGUAUUUCUUGUCACGUGGAAACACUUGAACUGAAUGCAUUUCAAGGGAUGCUUUCCAUUUACAUGACUUGUGUUGACUCAAGUCGAUAAUUUUAAUGCGGUAAAUGGAGAGUAUUGGCAACCCUGCUCAACUCUUAUUGAAAGCAGUGCUGCCAGACCCCCCGCCAUGGGUCAAGCCGCGCAUGUGUAAUGGAUGGCAAAUACAGUUAUGUGUAUUAUGGGCGCUUAAUUUUGGCGGGCCCAGUACUCUCAGUACAGAGGAUAUCUCAGUAGUAUUUUUGCCAAAUAAAAUAUUUUUCUUAAUUACAGAAAAA